CUAGUACGAGAGGACCGGAGUGGACGAACCUCUGGUGUACCUGUUGUCGCGUCAGCGGCAGAGCAGGAUAGCUAUGUUCGGCAGAGAUAACCGCUGAAGGCAUCUAAGCGGGAAGCUCCUCCUAAGAUUGCGUUUCUCCACAAGUCCGCCGGAAGAUGACCGGUUAGAUCGGCCACAGGUGUAAGCACGGCAACGUGUUCAGCUGAGUGGUACGAACGGACGAA
rnacentral:rRNA from 1 species